rnacentral:lncRNA from 1 species
AAUCUUACUCAUAAACACAAUUGAAUCACAUUAGUUGUAGAUGAGAACAAAUCAAACCAAAAAGGAAAAUUUUCAUUCACUUGCAAACUUGUUCAAUCAUCGUUCAUAUCAAAUCAAUCAGAUUCAAUGCCAAAACUUAGUCCUAUUGCUAUAUAAAUACCACGGAAUUCUACGUAAGAGAAGACACGCAUAGAAGAAAAGAGAAAAAAACACACAAAAAAAAUUACACGCAAAAAAGAGGAUUUUACACAAAAACAAAAAAACACCACAAACCC